CCUANGGGCGGCAGCAGUCGAGAGGCUUUGGCAAUGGGGGAAACCCUGACCAAGCGACGCCGCGUGGAGGAUGAAGGCCCUUGGGUCGUAAACUCCUUUUGUCGGGGAAGAAACACGAUCAGGUGAAUAAUCUGGUCGCUUGACGGUACCCGGCGAAUAAGCUCCGGCUAACUCCGUGCCAGCAGCCGCGGUAACACGGGGGGAGCAAGCGUUGUUCGGAAUCACUGGGCGUAAAGGGCGUGUAGGCGGUUAAGCAAGUGGAAUGUGAAAUGCCCCGGCUUACCUGGGGACCGGCAUCCCAAACUGCUUGACGUGAGUACGGGAGAGGAUGGAGGAAUUCCUGGUGUAGCGGUGAAAUGCGUAGAUAUCAGGAGGAACACCGGUGGCGAAGGCGUCCAUCUGGCCCGAUACUGACGCUGAGGCGCGAAAGCUAGGGUAGCAAACGGGAUUAGAUACCCCANUANUC
rnacentral:rRNA from 1 species